rnacentral:rRNA from 1 species
GGGUCAGUAGGUUGGUCGUGCCACCGGUACGUACUGGUCUAACUGAUUCCUCCUUCCUGAAGAACCGUAAUGCCAUUAAUUUGGUGUUGCGGGGAAACAGGACUGUUACUUUGAAAAAAUUAGAGUGUUUAAAGCAAGCUAGCGCUUGAAUACAUUAGCAUGGAAUAAUGAAAUAGGACGAUCGAUCCUAUUUUGUUGGUUUCUAGGAUUGACGUA